rnacentral:tRNA from 1 species
GGAUGGCUCAGUUGGUAGAGCGACGGACUCACUCUUCACGGGUCCUGAGUUCGAAUCCCUGC